rnacentral:rRNA from 1 species
GCCUAUGUCGGAUUAGCUAGUUGGUGAGGUAAUGGCUCACCAAGGCAGCGAUCCGUAGCUGGUCUGAGAGGAUGAUCAGCCACAUCGGGACUGAGACACGGCCCGAACUCCUACGGGAGGCAGCAGUGGGGAAUAUUGGACAGUGGGGGCAACCCUGAUCCAGCCAUGCCGCGUGUGUGAAGAAGGCCCUCGGGUUGUAAAGCACUUUCAACGAGGAAGAACGCCUAGUGGUUAAUACCCAUUAGGAAAGACAUCACUCGCAGAAGAAGCACCGGCUAACUCCGUGCCAGCAGCCGCGGUAAUACGGAGGGUGCAAGCGUUAAUCGGAAUUACUGGGCGUAAAGCGCGCGUAGGUGGCUUGAUAAGCCGGUUGUGAAAGCCCCGGGCUCAACCUGGGAACGGCAUCCGGAACUGUCAGGCUAGAGUGCAGGAGAGGAAGGUAGAAUUCCCGGUGUAGCGGUGAAAUGCGUAGAGAUCGGGAGGAAUACCAGUGGCGAAGGCGGCCUUCUGGACUGACACUGACACUGAGGUGCGAAAGCGUGGGUAGCAAACAGGAUUAGAUACCCUGGUAGUCCACGCCGUAAACGAUGUCGACCAGCCGUUGGGUGCCUAGCGCACUUUGUGGCGAAGUUAACGCGAUAAGUCGACCGCCUGGGGAGUACGGCCGCAAGGUUAAAACUCAAAUGAAUUGACGGGGGCCCGCACAAGCGGUGGAGCAUGUGGUUUAAUUCGAUGCAACGCGAAGAACCUUACCUACCCUUGACAUCGACAGAAGCCGAGAGAGAUCUUGGUGUGCCUUCGGGAACUGUCAGACAGGUGCUGCAUGGCUGUCGUCAGCUCGUGUUGUGAAAUGUUGGGUUAAGUCCCGUAACGAGCGCAACCCUUGUCCUUAUUUGCCAGCGCGUAAUGGCGGGAACUCUAAGGAGACUGCCGGUGACAAACCGGAGGAAGGUGGGGACGACGUCAAGUCAUCAUGGCCCUUACGGGUAGGGCUACACACGUGCUACAAUGGCCGGUACAAAGGGCAGCGAGCUCGCGAGAGUCAGCGAAUCCCUUAAAGCCGGUCUCAGUCCGGAUCGGAGUCUGCAACUCGACUCCGGAAGUCGGAAUCGCUAGU